UGAACGCUGGCGGCAGGCUUAACACAUGCAAGUCGAGCGGUAGCACAGGGGAGCUUGCUCCCCGGGUGACGAGCGGCGGACGGGUGAGUAAUGUCUGGGAAACUGCCUGAUGGAGGGGGAUAACUACUGGAAACGGUAGCUAAUACCGCAUAACGUCGCAAGACCAAAGAGGGGGACCUUCGGGCCUCUUGCCAUCAGAUGUGCCCAGAUGGGAUUAGCUAGUAGGUGGGGUAAUGGCUCACCUAGGCGACGAUCUCUAGCUGGUCUGAGAGGAUGACCAGCCACACUGGAACUGAGACACGGUCCAGACUCCUACGGGAGGCAGCAGUGGGGAAUAUUGCACAAUGGGCGCAAGCCUGAUGCAGCCAUGCCGCGUGUGUGAAGAAGGCCUCGGUUGUAAGCGACUUCAGUCGAGGAGGAAGGUGGUGAGCGUUAAUACGCUCAUCAAUU
rnacentral:rRNA from 1 species